rnacentral:lncRNA from 1 species
GCCCGAGGAGGAGCUCCGUGGCCGCGGCGGCCGGGAGGAACGUCUCGCUCCCGAAGGAGGCGAACACGGCGGCGUUGUCCGGGAACGUGCUGAGCCAGGUCGCCCAUGGUUCCUCGAGCUCCCCCUGCGGUGGAUCCGGCACCACGAGGCCCGUGACGAGCACCGGCUUGCCGAACUGGGCGGCCAGGUAGUCGAUGUAGGCGCCUUCCAUCUCGGCGCACGUCUUCACCACGAGCGCGUCGCAGGCUUCGAUGCCGGCCACGACGCGGUCGUACACGCACGGCAUGCCGUGGAAGGCUGUGUACACGUAUUUAAAGCCCGCGGCCUGGUAGGGCGGCACGGUGCCCAGCAGAGCUGAAGACGGCGGGAAGCCUGCGGGGCCUGAGGCGAGCUCGUCGGCCGUGGACGGGAGGGAGCCGUUAACGCGGCGCGCUGGGACCAUCAAGUACGCGCGGACGACGGCCGCGAACACGGAGAAGUGGAGCGCCUUGACGCCCAGAGGCGCGGUGAUGUCGGUGAUCCAUGGCGUGGCGAAGUCGAACAGCACGGCGUCCGGGCGGAGCUCCGCGAGCAGCGCUGCCACCUGCGGCCUGGUGCCGUCGAGGGCGAUCUUGAGCAGCUCGGCGCCGUCCGCGGACACCUCCGCGGUGCUCUCGGCGCCCUCGGGGAGCCCCGCCACGCGCGGGAGCUGCAGCGGCACCACGGCCACCGCGGCCGCGGACGAAAAGCCCAGCAUGGCCUCGACGCGGGGCACGUUCGCCGCGGCCGACAGCAGCGUGACCCGCACCCCGUUAGCCACGAGCUUGCGCGCCAGCUGCACGAACGGGCUGAUGUGGCCGAAGGCGAGGAAGGGGAACAUCAGGACGUGGAUGUCGCCGUCGCCGUCGCCGGCGGCGGAUGCCACUGCGCUGCUCAUCGUGGAUAUAUACUUGGAUGCUGCAAGCGAGUAUCGAGCUUAGUUUGCUUUGUGGUUUGUGUUUAUGAUGAUAACAUGUCUGGGUGGAGGUGUUAUGGCUUUUCGAGCUGUAAGUAAGGACGCUAGCUGAACAUGGAUGGUCCGAGGUUUUAAGGCCUCUCCCAGCGCUCGAUUCUUGUGCAAGCGACGAUACUUAGCCCGCACAGCCACGCGCGCAUUAAUUCCCAUCCAUCUUGUGCGGCUAUUCUUCUCCGACGGAACCUCGCCAACCUUGCUGCGCGCCGGUCUCCUUCGGGCCCCUCCCACUGCUGCACCAAUCCCAGCCGCCCUCCGUCCCAGUCGUUCGUCGUUUUUCCCUUGUCCGUCACCGUACGUUGACGCCGCGUACGGCCGUCGAUGUUCCUGCUCCUCGACCCCUCUUGUCUCCUAACCAACUCUGCUGCCGCAGGGAGCUUCUCUCCUCCACACAUGGUGUGCAUCAGUUCUUGCUGUAGACACUGCUCAAUCUGUGGGAGAUGGCUAGCUCGGGGCUCGCCGUGCACCAUGAACAGGCUGCAGCAAUUCGUACUCUGCCAGCAGCAAAUGGAAAUCCAUUUUUGCCAUUCACAAAUUCUAGCACCGUCCAUGAAGCCAGCUUUUUUAGAUCUAAUAAGUAUAGAGAGAAGGGGGAGGGGAGCUGGGGAGGUGGUUGCGAGAGACAGACAGACGUGGGAGCUGGGAGUGAAGGAAGAGGAUGCAUAAAAGAUCGUAACGAUCAUUUAAUGUAGGUACGGCCAACAAAAACGACGCGUUGCGGAACACUCGUUCGUAGGUGACUUGACGGCUACGGGACGACAGUGAAGGGACGAGCGCUGGGACUGCCCUAAGGAUGUGGACUUGAAUUGUAAUUCUGUGUUGCUGCAGCUUCCACGUGUUCUGUCCAGGUCUCUCUUAAUUAGUCUUUACGGCCAAGACUUAACACCAGUAUAAAGCUAAUUAACACCAGCGUAAGGGGAAGAAAGGGCGUGCGGUGCGUCGUGUCACGUCCGCCAGAUGAACUGUUCUGAUUUGUACUGUAGCGCUCAGUACGUGUGGGUUUGAGCGGUCCGUUUUUGUCAUGUGUACUGUGACGUGUCGCCAGGUGGUAGUGGAUUUGCAGUGUGUCAGAUUAGGACUCAAAACGGACAGAAACUGUAUGCGGUCACGGACACAGUAGGUGUCACCGUUGGGCAUUUGUCUGUUUGGGUCGCAGAAUGAGUCCAGCGGGACGAUCCACUUGGGAAGCAUAUGGCAAGCUACUGAAAUUUAAACUUGCUCAAUUCAUUACUAAAUUUUGAAUACAAUAACCUUAAAAUCCUAAAACCUAAAUCCUAGAGGUGAUUGGUACACAUUUUGAGGACAACAACAUUGCCACUGGAUUUGGGAACCAUAUGGCAAUCCCAAUAAUCAGUGUGGCUCAAUGAGCCUCCUCUCGAAGCGUCAGAGGAGAGCCGGACGCUCCUCAUUUGAGAACCGGAGCAGCGGUUGGAGCCGUGCCACUGCUAGCCACUCCGCAUCUUCAAAUUUCAUGAGAAGUGCAAUAUUUUGAACUUCAAGGUUUUAAAUCCCAAGACCACCAGAACACUUUGGAACGCAAACUCUAUUCCAAGCAAAAAGGCAUUGAGAACCAGAACAUGAAUCCUCCGCAACCCAAAAGAAAGCUUUGCGGACAUUAUCUAUCUUUUCAACCGACUGAUUUGGAAGGCAGAACGAUGCCAUGCAGUAAGUUGGAAGGUUGUCGAGAACAGAAGAAGCUAGAACAAGUCUGCCGCCUUUGGGUAGGAGGGAAGCACUCCAACCAGAUAAGUAUUUGUCACAUUUAUGAACCACGGAUAGCAAGCCAGCGGAAUGAAUUUUUUGCGGAUACAGGGAUAAGCCGAGGCUAGUUUGUGGAAAGGAGAAGAUUUUGGUUUCGAUGAUGUCAGUCAUUUGUUGUGUAAUCGUAUCAUAUGAUCUACGAACAUUGGAAAUGAACGUAGUUUUGUGGUAGUUUAUUUGCUGACCGGUAGCUAGGGAAAAUUGUUGAAGGAUUAUCUUUAGUUCAGGAGCAGCUUCUAGGGAGGCUUGGGUAAGAUUAAAGUGUCGUCAUCAUAUUGUAGGACAGUGCAGGGUAUAAAGGUAAUAAUCAACAAGAGAUUGACCUGCAUAACUCAAAAACACAGUUUCAAAAAAUAAUUAUUCAAAAACAAGCAAUAAAAAUAAACAAUUUCAUAACAUAGUUGAGUUUUGAAACAAGGAAAAUAAAGAAAUAGGGUUAUGCAGAAGCCCACUUCUUAUAUUAGACAGUCAUGCAUGAAACAUUGUCUGACCAGCUGUUCCAAUUGCCCGCACGUCCUUGACUCAUAUUCACAAUGGUGGAAAAAAAUCUUCUUCUUUUUUUGGCUAGAUGGAAAAAAAUUGUUUGACUCGACACCAGACAUUGUAUCUUUUAGGACUUUACUGAUAUCUGGACAGUUGUGAUUAAACUACUCUAUGUUUUCAUUUGCAGAAGAAAGACCGUUUCAAAGUUUACUCUUGGUGUCUUGCACAAUCACUUGGACAGCCAACUGGAAUCUAGGAAAAAUAAAGAGCUUCGUCCAAGGUGUACUGUAUUUUGCUAAUUUGCUUGCUUGAGAAUGGAGAAUAUUAGGUAAGAAUCCAGGUGAGAUCUCUCUAAUCGUGCCAGUUUUUAGACACUUCUACAAUGAGGAUAAAUUUAUGUUCAUAUGAUUGACUCAUAAUUAUCGGAUACUUUCAAAACAUCGUUGAACUCCAAUUCCAAUCGGCCAAUCUAGAUUUCGAUCCGGUUUGUCUUGAGUUCGAUAUCUGAUUCAUGAACCAUGUAACGAACCGAUAGGAGAAAAGCAUUGGCAUCGCUCAUUCAUUUGUCAAGGACAAUUUCCCAGAAUGAAUUUGAUUUUAUUUUCUUAUGCAAAUUAGUAGUUUGGCAAAGAUCCAUGUAUUUCCAUGAUUACGAGACUUAGAUCAGAAGAUUAUGCUGUUGACUUUUCAAUACAUGUGAAUUUUCGCAUAUUAUGUUUGACGUUCAGAGCCCCGUGACAGCGCAUGGUCAUUGUACUAGUUUGUAUCACAUAAGUCGAACGUUGCUAGAGUAAUUCUUGGUCAAAGGCUCGGUCAAAGAAAACAAUAAUUUAAGAAACAAGAGCACUAUUUAACAAUUUCCAUAAGCUUGCUAUCAAAUUUUCAUAAGCUAGUUGCUGAACAUAUGUUAGUUGUUACUGCUAAGUGCAUAUGUUAGUUGUUACUGCUACCGGUCAGCAAACAAGAGCACUAUUUAACUAUUUGGGUGGGUGAAGCCAUAAAGCAUCUGCAUGGUUAACCAUGUGGCACGAGCAAAACCGUAGUGCAAAAAAGGUGUCUGAAUGCAUCAUUUUUCCUUAAAAAAAUACUUCUAAAUGCUUUGCCAUUUUCAUUUAGGUUCAGUACCUAGUACUAGUACGAAGAGGACCAGCCUACUACACUCUACAGUCGAAUUAAAGCGCAUGACUUUGGAUGCUUCAACGAACUAAUCAAUGUGCAACUCUGUCGUACUAAUACGUACCGAUUGAUGCACCAUUUCAUCUGUUCACUCCAGAUUAACCUAUAGCACUCUUCCACGUACGAUGAAUCAGAUUUUUAGAACAAAAAACAUGUUUGCUUAGGGCAUCUCUAAAGGGAGCCUCAUUUCCUCCCCAUUCGCACGUUUGUCCACUUGAGAUAUACGGACAACAACCCAAACCAAUUAUCCUGACCCUUCUCAUUUGUUCAAAUUUGUCAACACUCACCAUUCUAUUUUCAAAUUUGAAGGUGAAACUGCCAAACGGACGGUAGUAUAUAUCUUCACCCCGUAACCUGCUUCUAGCCACAGCAACUCUAUUGGAGGCCAUUGUGCGGGCCACUAUGAGUAGCUGGAGCAGCUGGACUGCUGGAGCCCCACGUUCUCGCUGCCGCCAUGCGUCGACCUGCUCGCGCCAGCGCCGAUCUAAUCCCGCCCUACGGCCAUCUGCGGUCAUCGGUCGUCAACUCGUCGUCCACAACUACGACAGUGCUUUGCAACAACCGACACAAAAUCUCAGAGAGCUCUAAAUUCUGUGAAUUACAAGAGCCAAGACUUAUUUGACAAAAUCUCAGAGAGCUCUAGAUUCUGUGAAUUACAAGAGCCAAGACUUAUUUGACGGCAUUAACAGGCAAUGACCAGGAUCGUUGCUGUCCUGUCAGGCCCUCACAAGAUUUCUGAGACCGACAAUGAAAUCGUCAACAAACCUCCUCUGCACGGCGCCGUCCAUCAAGAACUCCACCCACUUCUUCCCCUCCCGGCACCCUCCGUCCGCCUCCGCCUCCGCCACCGCCGCGGCCACGUCGUCGCGCCCGAACCACCCGUCCUCGGCACGCCGCGCGACCUCCACCCCGACGCGGAGCUCCCUGGCGGCGAGCGCGGCAUUGAGGUACUGGUCGCCCUUCAUCGGCAGCAGCACGAGCCGGCAUCCCGCCACGAGCCCCUCCACGACGGAGCUCAGCCCGGCAUGGUUGACGAAGCACCCCACGCUGGCGUGCCGCAGGAUGUGCUGCUGCUGCACCCACCCCGUGUGCACCGCGCCUCUCCCCUUCACCCUCUCCUCGAACCCCGGCGGCACGCAUUUCCUCAGCUCCGCCUCUACAUCCGCCCCCCUGGGGAAGUUGAGCACGGCGAGGAACGGCCGCUUGCUGGCCUCUAGCCCGAGGAGGAGCUCCGUGGCCGCGGCGGCCGGGAGGAACGUCUCGCUCCCGAAGGAGGCGAACACGGCGGCGUUGUCCGGGAACGUGCUGAGCCAGGUCGCCCAUGGUUCCUCGAGCUCCCCCUGCGGUGGAUCCGGCACCACGAGGCCCGUGACGAGCACCGGCUUGCCGAACUGGGCGGCCAGGUAGUCGAUGUAGGCGCCUUCCAUCUCGGCGCACGUCUUCACCACGAGCGCGUCGCAGGCUUCGAUGCCGGCCACGACGCGGUCGUACACGCACGGCAU